UUAGUUGUGUUAUAAUUCACUUCCACAGCACACUCUGCCCUAAUGUCUGUAAUCAGCACUACAGAAAAAAUACCAGGCAUGACCUCUAUAUAUACACAAUUCACUAACAGAAACAAAUGAAUACUUAGAUUCUUGUUUCAGUUCGACAUUUAUCAAAUGGUACUACUGUUAGAAGGAGAUCCUUCAAGCAAACAAUCUGCAUUGAAUUGGGAGUGAUCUUGAUGAUACACUUCAGGGAAAAAAAGGACCGUGUUGUACAACACAGUAGAUGAAAAUACCCGCAGCCAUUACACGUACCACUCAUUCUGUUAACCAUGUAAUAUAAAUUGUCAUUUUGACAUGUAGACUAUUUCUCUUCCUCCAUCACCUCCAUGUCAAUCCAAUUCACUCAUUCUUGCCAAUGAUGAAAAAAAAAAAGAGAAAAAAAGAAAAAAAAAAGAAAAGGAAACAAGGAAAGAUUGUUAUCCCAGAUCUGCAUUUGUGGAACAUUUUAAAGCCAGUUAGGUUAACCACUGGGAAGAUGUUAGUCUAGAUAAGAGAAUCCCCACUGUUUUUCUGUCUCCCUUAGACAAUGAAAUCACGUAGUUGUGUCUGUGCCUCUGUUUUGGAUUGUUCUGUUUUUAACACAUAACAGAUUGAGGGCUGCCUACUAUUCCUAAUUAACUCAAACUAAUGAGAGAGCGAGUGGAGGGAGUGCCAAAAAAAGAAAAGAGAUCAUGUGUUGAAAGAGGUUGAAUUACAACUUAAAGGGGAUGGAGAAAGAAAAAGAAAAAGGAAGAAGGGGGAGGAGAUGCAAAUACCAUUAAAGCUGAAAAGUAGGCGAGAUGAAUCGCCUGAGAACAGAUUUGUUUUUUAUUUCUAACAAGAGGCAAAGAUGUCUUGCAAAAACACCGAAGAAACAUAAGCAAUACAAUAUUGCUCUAAUGUUAGAUUACAGCUUCUUUUUAGAAUCUGCUUCAGCACCCACUGCUGUCCUGCUUAUUCUCUCAUUCUCCUAUUACCAGUAAGUUAGUUGUUUGGCUUGUUAGCACAGCCCCUAAUUAAACCAAGAUAAAGCAAGUAAAAGUCAAUUUUCAGGUGUGCACAUACUGAGUGACAUGUCAUGUUUAGGAGAAUGCCUUUUUCCCCUAGGCCCAAAAGAAGAUUCUGGCCAAGGCUUCCAUAUUUCUGUGCCUGAGGUCUCCUUUCUCUAGGAGUUAAGAUGAGGAUGGGAGCCUGUGGAAGGCAGAGAGGACAGCAGGAUUGUGUUUGCUGUGGUUGCAGGCUGUAGGACUGCCUGGAGCCAGACCUCACCUCUCCAACCGAUGUCCCUGCUCCAUUGAUUCAAGCUGGGCAGGAGAAAAGAAAGGCAGAAAGGAAUGGGUGAAGGAGAGGUAGAAGGGGGCACCAGACCAGGACAGGGAGGAGGGGCGAGGCAUUGGGGAUCAGGUUGCAAGAAAGAAGUGCUAUGAAGAAAAUAGAUUGUCAGACCAAGGGAGUGGAAGACAUAGAAUGAGUCAAACUUUCACAUUAACAAAAUUAGGGAAGCACUGGGAAAGCAGUGAGAGAGGCUGAAAGCCGCCUGGAGCCGAGCGAGGAGGAGUUUUAGCAGACAAUGUGCUGUGGGUGAAAGGAGAGAGGUGGGAGAGGCAAGGACUGGGGUUGUAGCCUAGCACCCACUGCUCUCAACCCAGAACCAGAAGCUCUUGCUGUGCCUGUGUGUGCCUGCACACAGGUGUGCACAAGCAUGUAUGUAGUGCUUGCUUCUUUACCGUGGCCCAGACUGGGGUUAAUAACAGCACUGAACAGUUUAGCAAAAGCCACGGGGAUGCGACAGGUAAGCAGGAAGAAAACAGCCAGCUGGCUUUGGCUGGCUGCGGUUCCUUGCAUGUGACGAGGCCAGGUUGUUGCCAGACUCUGUGCAGACGAAGCAAUGGGCUGCAGCAGAGGAAAGGAGGCGCCGCCAAGCCCUGACAGGCUGAGGUGUGACCUGACGAAUCCUAACCACCCUGGACAUCCUCAGGACAGCGAGGGGAGCAGGGACAAAACAGCCUCCUUAAGUGAACUACAUGUCUAGUACACCUCAGUGCACCACCUUCAUGCAGCAUACAAAGUACAGCUUAGUUUAACUUGAUAUCUCUUGGAAAUUAAGUGUCUGCACACUGAAUUGCUGAGAAGGAAUAAAGCCUGCCAGAAUUUUGCAGAUACCACAGUUUCUUCAAAAGUCUACAAGGUUUCCCCCUGAAGGAUGUAUUUGCAGAUGGAUUUUUUUCUUCUGAAGCAGCUCAAUAAUUUGCUUGAGAAGAGACACUGAAACCAAACUUAACAAGUACAGUAGCCUGGCAUUUCCCAGUAAAUGGGAGAGCUCUUUGGCUGUGCAGUUAUGCCCAAGGGGUUUGACAGAAUCACAGAAUGGGUCAGUCAGGAAGGAGCCACCUUCUGGUCCAAUCUCCAUACUCAGUCAGGGUCAUCCCAAAGCACAUUGCACAGGACUGUGUUCAGACAGUUCUUAGGUGUCUGCAGUGAGGGAGACUCCACACCCUCUCUGGGCAAUCUCUUCCAGUGCAGAGUUACUUGCACAGUAAAGUUCUUCCUUAUGUUCGAGUGGAAUUUCCUGUGUAUCAGUUUCUGCCCAUUGCUGCUUGUCCUAUAGCUCAACAUUGAAAAGAGCCUGGCUCCAUCCUCUUGGCAUCCUCCCUUCAGGUACUUACAGACAUUGAAAAGACCCCUCUCAGUUCUCCCUUCUUGAGGCUGAGCAGGCCCAUCUCCCUCAGCCUUUCCUCCUGAGAGAUGCUCCGGUUCCUUAAUCAUCUUUGUACCCUUCCCCCGGACCCAUUCCAGCAGUUCCAUGAUCCUGAGGAGCCCAGAGCUGGACACAGCACUCCAGAUGUGCCUCACCAGGGCUCAGCAGAGGGGCAGGAUCACCUCCCUUGAGCUGCUGGCAGAGCUCUUCCUAAUGCACCCCAGGUCAACAUUGGCCUUCUUGGCCACAAGGACACACUGCUGGCUCAUAGACAGCUUGUUGUCCUUCUUUCUGAACCACUGAUAUUCCUGAACUAAAUUUCCUUUAAUAUGAACUUCAUAUGUGUUCAGCACUAUUUUCACCCUAUUUUUUUUAUUAUGACACAGAAGGACUUAUUUCAAAACAUUAAACCUAUGCCUCAGAACUAUUUUGCCUUGAGGGCUAGAUUAUUCAUGAACUGGUAAAUUUUUCUAGUUUGUGGUUGUCUAUAAAAUUUUAAAGAAUUGAUGGCUACUCCUACAUUGACAUUUAAAUGAGAAGCAAAAAUCAAUAUCUAUUUGAACCAGCUGAAAAAUGACCCCAUGGCAAAUGCAGGAGCUAAAAGCACCACUUAGUUCCCCAACCCUUUCCUCAGAAUGUGCCUGCAUAAGAAAUUGCCAUGAUUUAAAAUUCAACUACAGGUGAAAAACCAUGUCCCCACUCACUCAAACCCUUCUCUCUUCCCUCUCCAUCCCAGUGGAAUAAAGAGAAGAAUCCAAGUAAAAUUUGUAUGUGGAGUUAAGAACUGUUUAUUAAUAAAAAUAAAGUUAAAUGAAAUAAUAAUGAUAAAUAAUAAUAAUAAUAAUAAUAAUUUUUAAAAAGUGGGAAAAAGCAAGUGCUGCACAAUACAACUUCUCACCACCCCUUGACCAAUGCCAAACCCCCCUUUCCUGAAUCCAGAUCAGCUUAUCCUUCAGGUAAUUUCUCCAACUUAUAUAGUGGCCACAUUCUACGGUGGCCAUGUUUCAUGGUGUGGAGUACCCCUUUGAUCAGUUCAAGCCAACAGCCCCAACUAUGCUCCCUUCCAGUUUCUUUUUUGUAUUUUCUUAUUGACAGACAAGGAAAAAAAGUCCUUGAGUUAGAAUAAACACAACCUGGCAAAAGCCAAAACUUCAGUGUGUUAUCAACACUAUUCUCAUUCUGAAUCUAAAACACACCACUGUAACAGGUUCUAAGAAGAAAUUAACUCUACCCUACCUGAAACCACAAAAGGAAUGAUGGGAGCCAGCCCUUAUUCCAUGCCAUACCAUAUAUGUCAUGCCAAGUUUCACUCUCCUUGAUAUCCCAUCACCUUUCCUACUUAUCUGUUUUGAUAGAUACAUAUACAAAUAUUGUUCUCUAAGUCUAUGGAACAUCUUUGUCAAAUGUUCAUUAAAUGUCUGCACAAAAACCCAAACACAACCAACAAAACAAAACAAAACAAAAACUCAAAAAACACCAGCCAGAAAAACCCUCAAAAUUUUGAAUUCACGUAGUCCAUGAUUUUGGCCUUUAUUCUUGAUAACAAUCUUUUGAGCAGUAAAAAUGUGGUGAGAUAGUGGAGGGUUAAAAAAAAAUUGUACAACUUAACCGCGGGUAGUUGAGGGGGAGGAAGGUAGAAGACACACAAUCUGAACUUGACGUAGCCUGGCUUUGGAAAAAACGUCAGCUUCUGCAAGUAGCUUCACACUAUUGUUUUAAUUGAGUCAAGUGUGACUCCAGCCCAGGAGAUAAUUGAGAAGCAUUGUUUUAACCAAAUCAAAUAUAACCCAGAGUAAAGCGUAGGUAUGAUUUAAGAUAGUAACUAAGAAAUAAGAUAACCAGUAUCUAGGGGUGGAGGUUAGUUAACAUAUGUAUAAUUUGAAACUAUAAAAAUCACAAAUCGACUCUGUAUUCUUGGGCACAAGAUUUAGGCAUUGUAUGCCCCUGUGUCCUGCGUGCUCAAAUAAAGAACCGCAUAUGAUGGCCUUUGUGUGGUUAUAUGUUUUCCUACGCUAAAAAGAUGUUGGGUGGUUGGAUGUUGCACAAUUAAGUCAGUUCUGAUUCCAGUACUGGUGCACUAGUUCAGUUUUAUCAAAGUUCAUUCUUCAUUGGUGUGAUCAGAGGAAAGUCAGGCUCAUACCUACAGAAGGCUUGUGGUUAAGAGCAAUACCAUGAGGUGCUCAGUGAGGAGAUCCACAUGUAGUGAUCACAAGAGUGGUAAUACACAGUGCUGUAGUUAUAAACAUAAUUCAAUUUAAUUCAUCAGCUAUUCUCACCCAAAAUCAAAUCCCUGUGGGGCACACUCCAGACCUUCCCCAUUGUCCCAUAUGACCUGCACCCCAAUGACAGGGCAAAAGCACCAUCCAACAGAUGGGUUUGCCUUUGCCUGAGGCAGGAAUAAUAAAGAUAGUUUCCUCCAGCAUGUUUUUAUUGUGUACUACAGGAAUUUUAUCCUGUUCCACAGGACACAAAAAUUUUGAUUGGGCUGGGCCAGCCUUAUUGCAGAUCCUCUGGUGUUGACAAACCAGGUGGCCUUUGCUAAAUGUAUAUGCCAGUGUUUGAAGGUCCCACCAUGCAUUGCUCUCGCUGUAGUCUUUAACAGUCUGUUACAUCAUUUGAUCUUUCCAGAGGCUGGUGCAAGACAGGGAAUGUGAUAUACUCACUCGAUGCCAUAUUCUUUGGUCUAAAUGUCUGUGAGGUGGUUUUAGAAAUGAGUUUCAUUUUCUGAUUUAAUUCUACCUGGAGUACCAUGUUGCCAUAAGAUUUCCUUCUCAAAGCCUAGGAUACUGUUCCAGGUGGUGGCAUGGGACACAGGGUAUGUUUCUGGCCAUCCAGUGCUUGCUUCCAUCACCAUAAGCAUAAUAGUGCUUGCCAUCAUGGUCCUGGGGCUGUGUGACAGUCAGUCUGCCAGGCCUUCCUGUACUUACAUUUCAGCCAUCAUCCUCCAUAUCAAAGAGGCUUUACCCACUUGGCCCUGCUUGACAGCAUCACAUUUCAUGAUGGUGGAUAACUAGGAGGUAGUAUACACAGUUAUGUUCGCCCUUUAUCACCCCUGUUGGAUGUCCUUCUUGAUGUCCUGAGGUGUCAUCGACCCAUCAGGCAAGGAAUAACUCACACUUAUUUGUCAGUCCAAAUACAGCUGAGCCAUUCAAUUCUAGCAGCAUGAUCCCCCUGCUGAUUGUUCUGAUGUUCUUCUGUGGCCUGACCCUUAUUAUGUGAGCAUUUCUGCAAUCUACCUUCACAGGCAUGUUCUCCACCUGGGCAGUGUUGUCUUGCCACAAUGCAGCAGCCCACACAGAUUUACCACUACGUUACUAUUCCUUUGUUGCAGCCAUCCCCACAGGGCGUUUGCCACCAUCCAUGAAUCAAUAUAAAGUAUCAUCCCUUUCUCUUGUUCAGCAAUGUCUAAGGCCAGCUGUAUGGGUUCCACCUGUGCAGGCUGACUCAAUUCACCUUCUCCUUCAGCAGUUUCUGUGACUUGUCACAGGGAACUCCUAUACACAGCUGCUUUCCAUCUCCAAUACUUUCCCACAAGACAGCAGGAUCCAUCAGUAAAAAAGGCAUAUUGCUUCUCACUUUCUGGUGAUUUAUUAUAUAGUGGGGCCAAUUCAACAUAUAUUACCAGCUUCUCUGGUGACAUUCCAAAAUCUUUGCCUUCUGGCCAGCCCACGAUAUACUUCUAAGAUUCCUGGAGAACUGAGGUUUCCUUUCCAGGCUCAUUGUGUGGUCAGUGUGACCCACUUACUCCAUGUAGCAUCUGUUCCAUGAUGUGUAGGGAAGAUCCUCCCUUUGAACACCCAAUCCAUCAUGAGUAGCCACGGUGCCAGUCGGAGUUGUGCUUCAAUCACCUCUGAAGUGGCUCAGACCGUUUCAUAUGCCACCAGUAUCUCAUUUUCAGUUGGACUAGAGAGGACUUCCGAUCCUCUGCAUGCCUCAGUCUAAAAACCUAGAAGUCAAACUUGAGUGUCCCCUGGUGCUUUCUGCCAGAGCCUCCAGGUAGGGCCAUUCUUACCAACUGCAGUACAAACACAAUUUUUACAUCUUGCCCUGUUUGGAGGGGCUGGAGUGCUACAGCAUGAACUAUCUCCUACUUGAUUUGCUCAAAGGCCUGUCACUGCUCAGGGCCUCAUCUGAAAUCAUUCUUCUUCUGGGU